CCUACGGGUGGCAGCAGUGGGGAAUAUUGCACAAUGGGGGAAACCCUGAUGCAGCAACGCCGCGUGGGUGAAGAAGUAUUUCGGUAUGUAAAGCCCUAUCAGCAGGGAAGAGAAUGACGGUACCUACCUAAGAAGCCCCGGCUAACUACGUGCCAGCAACCGCGGUAAUACGUAGGGGGCAAGCGUUAUCCGGAUUUACGUGUUGUAAAGGGAUCGUAGACGGUUGAGCAAGUCUGAAGGGAAAGCCCGCGGAUCAACUGCGGAACGGCUUUGGAAACUGUGUAACUGGAGUGCUGGAGAGGUAAGCGGAAUUCCUGGUGUAGCGGUGAAAUGCGUAGAGAUCAGGAGGAACACCGGCGGCGAAGGCGGCUUACUGGACAGUAACUGACGUUGAGGCUCGAAAGCGUGGGGAGCAAACAGGAUUAGAUACCCCUGUAGUC
rnacentral:rRNA from 1 species